rnacentral:rRNA from 1 species
AAAGGAAUUGACGGGACCCGCACAAGCGGUGGAUGAUGUGGUUUAAUUCGAUGCAACGCGAAAACCUUACCCACCUUUGACAUGUACGGAACCCUUUAGAGAUAGAGGGGUGCUCGAAAGAGAGCCGUAACACAGGUGCUGCAUGGCUGUCGUCAGCUCGUGUCGUGAGAUGUUGGGUUAAGUCCCGCAACGAGCGCAACCCUUGUCAUUAGUUGCUACAUUCAGUUGGGCACUCUAAUGAGACUGCCGGUGACAAGCCGGAGGAAGGUGGGGAUGAUGUCAAGUCCUCAUGGCCCUUAUAGGUGGGGCUACACACGUCAUACAAUGGCUGGUACAAAGGGUUGCCAACCCGCGAGGGGGAGCCAAUCCCAUAAAGCCAGUCGUAGUCCGGAUCGUAGUCUGCAACUCGACUACGUGAAGUCGGAAUCGCUAGUAAUCGUGGAUCAGAAUGUCCACGGUCGAAUACGUUCCGGGCCUU